GUUGCAUGAAGUGAAGCACAUACACCUGCUGAAUUUAAGCAUAUAAGUAAA
rnacentral:rRNA from 1 species